GGAUGCUUAGCUCAGUUGGGAGAGCGUUUCUUUCACACGGAAGAGGUCACAAGUUCGAUCCUUGUAGUGUCCA
rnacentral:tRNA from 1 species